rnacentral:misc_RNA from 1 species
GAUGAAGAACGUAGUGAAAUGCGAUACUUGGUGUGAAUUGCAGAAUCCCGUGAACCAUCGAGUCUUUGAACGCAAGUUGCGCCCGAAGCCACUAGGCCGAGGGCACGCCUGCCUGGGCGUCACACGCCGUUGCCCCCCCAUCUACUCCUUCGGGAUUGCGGGGGGGCGGAUGAUGGCCUCCUGUGCGCCUAGCCGCGCGGUUGGCAUAAAUACCAAGUCCUCGGCGACGCACGCCGCGACAAUCGGUGGUUGCGAAACCUCGGUUGCCCGUCGUGUGCGUUCGUCGCGCAUCGAGGGCUCGAAAAAAUGCUCGGCUCCGGCUGGGCUUUCAACGCGACCCCAGGUCAGGCGGGGUUACCCGCUGAAUUUAAGCAUAUCAAUAAGCGGAGGA